AUUGGAUCAGACCACCUGCAGCAAAUUAGGUUGUUUACUUGGUAACAUUUAAGACCUCAAUCAACAGAAGGAGACAAACUUUUCUCUUGUGUUCUGCCCAAUUUGAAUGAAUCUGGGAUAGAGGAGUUUGGAAAAGUUCAACUUUGCUAUUUAUGGAAGACAGAUGACAAGCAUUCCUUAACAAGAUCUUUUCUUUGACAAGGUAACAGAGGGCUGAUGAAGAGAAACGCAGAUGAUGUGAUGUCUGUGGAAUUUGGAAACACACCAGUGCCUCUACUUCUUCAGAAGGCGAAGGAAAUUUGGCAAUUGCCCGUUGACCCUCACUGAUUUUUUUGAUGCACCAUAGAAAGCACCUAUGCAGAUGCACUGGCAAUUCAAUUUACUCUGUCAAAGACUUCAAGAAAUUGCAGAGGCUUGUGGACACAGCUCAAUCCAUCAUGAAAACCAGUCUCCCCUCCAAUGACUUGAUCUACACUUCCUGCUGCCUCGGGAAAGCAGCCUACGUAAUCAGAGAACCCUCCCAGCCUGGUCAUUCUCUCUUCUCCACCUUCCACCGGGCAGAAGAUAAAAAGCUUGAAAACAUGUACCACCAGUCUCAAGGACAGCUUGUAUCCGCUGUCAUAAGACUCUUGAAUGGACCUCUUAAACGAUAAACCUGGACUCCUGAUCUCUCAAUCUACCGUGUUGUGGCCCUCGCGCCUUAUUUGCCUACCUGCACUGCACUUCCUGCGUAACAGUAACUGUAACACUAUAUUCUGCAUUCUGUUAUUGCCCUUCCCUUUGUACUGCCUCAACGUAUGUAGUUUUUUGGAAUGAUCUUUAUGGAUAGCAUCCAAAACAAAGUUUUUCACUGUAUCUUGGUAUUGGUGACAAUAAUAAACCAAUUACCAAUUUAUCAAGAUUGAAGAUCAAAAUAGGCAGUACCAGCAGAGAUAGCAAUAAGGCCAUGUGACAGAAAAUAGAGUAGUAGUGAUCAGUUGUCUGUCAGAUUGGAUGGAAGUGUAUGGUGGUGUUUUCCACGGGUCAGUACCAGAACAAUAGUUGGUGGCUGAUUUAACAGACACACAAAUUAUAGAAUUCUGAAUAUUAUGGCUUCAGUAUAGAAAAAAAAAUGGUCAAUUUCACCAGUGGGCAAAUAAUUUUGUA